rnacentral:rRNA from 1 species
GACGAACGCUGGCGGCGUGCUUAACACAUGCAAGUCGUACGAGUGGCGAACGGGUGAGUAACACGUUGGUUCCCUGCCCUGCACUUCGGGAUACUCCUGGGAAACUGUGUCUAAUACCGGAUAGUGUGGGUGUGGCCCGGGGGCUAUCAGCUUGUUGGUGGGGUAAGGGCUACCAGGGCGCGACGGGUAGCCGGACUGAGAGGGUGGACGGCCACAGUGGGACGGAGACACGGCGCAGAAUCCGACGGGAGGCAGCAGUGGGGAAUAGUGAACAAUGGGCGGAAGCAUGAUGCAGCGACGCAGCGUGAGGGAUGAAGGCCUUAGGGUUGUAAAGUACUUACAGCGGGGAGGCGUUACCAGAAGAAGAAGCAACGGCUAACUCCGUGCCAGCAGCCGCGGUAAUUC